rnacentral:rRNA from 1 species
GAUGAACGCUGGCGGCGUGCCUAAUACAUGCAAGUCGAGCGAACACACGAGGAGCUUGCUCCUCUGCCGUUAGCGGCGGACGGGUGAGUAACACAUGGAUCACCUACCUCUAUGACUUGGAUAACUUCGGGAAACCACAUCUACUACCGGCUAAUAUAUUGUACCGCAUGGUUCAAUAGUUCAACACGGUUUUCCUGUCACUUAUAGAUGGUUCCGCGCCGCAUUAGCUAGUUGGUAAGGUAACGGCUUACCAAGGCAACGAUGCGUAGCCGACCUGAGAGGGUGAUCGGCCACACUGGAACUGAGACACGGUCCAGACUCCUACGGGAGGCAGCAGUAGGGAAUCUUCGGCAAUGGGCGAAAGCCCGACGGAGCAACGCCGCGUGAGUGAUGAAGGUCUUCGGAUCGUAAAACUCUGUUAUUAGGGAAGAAAAAAUGUGUAAGUAACUAUGCACGUCUUGACGGUACCUAAUCAGAAAGCCACGGCUAACUACGUG